GGUGUACAUUGAUCCGGCCUGAAAAGUUAUUAUUCAGGUCUCCCCAGCAUGUCUGAUUGUCCUGCAGUGCCUUCAGGAUGAAGUGCAGAUGGCUUUGUUCCAAUAUGGGAGCCUGGAUGUUGUCAUCUUAAUACUCCAUCUGAUAACAGCUCUGCAAUCAACCACUUUUCUCCAAGGAAUUCUGAUUGUAAAGUAGCAUUUAGAAAGUAAGAUCUGGAUACUAGGUGUGCUCAUUGCCAUUGAUUUGCCAUUAUCCUCUCAGAAGUCAGAACCAGAAAAUACACGUAUGUAUGCUAUGCCAUGAUUACAUAUACAUCUUUGUUUAUUUCUGUAUUUAUCUGUGUGUGUAUGUGUGUGCAUUCAGAUUGAUACCUGUGAUUCCAGUAACAACGUGGGUUUAUUCUAGAUGUUCCACUUUCCUUAUUUAUAACUUUUUUCUCCACAGUGAAAAACUUGAUCCCAUUAUCUGCAAUAUUUUUACUUAUUUGUUCAAGUCUAGUAUAUACCAAUAAAGUUUCAUAAUUGUUAAUGGGUGCUCAUGUGAAAAACAAUUUGCCAACUAGACUCAGUGUUUACAUAUAGUUCUUUUUGUCCUCAGUCUUAUAGAAUACAG
rnacentral:lncRNA from 1 species